rnacentral:rRNA from 1 species
UUGAAAGGGAAACGAUUGAAGUCAGUCGUGCUGGCGCGAAAUCAACCUUCUCGUCUUGAGAUCACAUGGCGUGGCGAGCCUCAAAACCGUCACGAAGCGUGAACUCUUGGUGAAAUGGAGCACUUUCGUGUCCGCUGGUUAACAUCAAUUUCGAACGUCAUAAAAAGGCUGGAGGGAUGUGGCUCCUUCGGGAGUGUUAUAACCUUUAGCGGAAUGUGGUGUUCGGGAUUGAGGAUUGCAACGAAUACCUUUAGGGCUGUUCCACCUGGCUUCUCUUUGGUAUCCUGGUGACGACAGCUUGCUGACGUCGUUAGGAUUCGCCUUUGAACAGGUUAGAGUGUGAGCAAAUUCGUUAAGGAUGUUGACGUA